AGGUUUGUAGGUCAGUGGUAGAGCACUUGCCUAGCAUGCAUGAGGCUCUGGGUUCAAUCCCCAGUACUUG
rfam:Fukomys damarensis contig95648, whole genome shotgun sequence.